UACGUAGGGUGCGAGCGUUUGUCCGGAAUUAUUGGGCGUAAAGAGCUCGUAGGCGGUGUGUCACGUCGGCCGUGAAAACCUGCAGCUUAACUGUGGGCGUGCGGUCGAUACGGGCAUCACUGGAGUUCGGCAGGGGAGACUGGAAUUCCUGGUGUAGCGGUGAAAUGCGCAGAUAUCAGGAGGAACACCGGUGGCGAAGGCGGGGUCUCUGGGCCGAUACUGACGCUGAGGAGCGAAAAGCGUGGGGGAGCAAACAGG
rnacentral:rRNA from 1 species